rnacentral:rRNA from 1 species
UACGUAGGGACCAAGCGUUGUUCGGAUUUACUGGGCGUAAAGGGCGCGUAGGCGGCGUGGUAAGUCACUUGUGAAAUCUCCGGGCUUAACUCGGAACGGCCAAGUGAUACUGUCAAGCUAGAGUGCAGAAAAGGGGCAAUCGGAAUUCUUGGUGUAGCGGUGAAAUGCGUAGAUAAUCAAGAGGAACACCUGAGGCGAAAGGCGGGGUUGCUAGGCUGACACUGACGUGACAGCGCGAAAGCCGGGGAGCAAACGGG